rnacentral:rRNA from 1 species
UACGUAGGGCGCAAGCGUUGUCCGGAAUUACUGGGCGUAAAGGGCGCGUAGGCGGUUCGUUAAGUCCUGUGUGAAAUCCCCCGGCUCAACUGGGGAACUGCACAGGAAACUAGCGGGCUUGAGUUCGGGAGAGGGAAGCGGAAUUCCGGGUGUAGCGGUGAAAUGCGUAGAUAUCCGGAGGAACACCGGUGGCGAAGGCGGCUUCCUGGACCGACACUGACGCUGAGGCGCGAAAGCUAGGGGAGCAAACGGG